rnacentral:snoRNA from 1 species
AAACUAUGAUGUGGGCAAUGCCUAAGUAAGUUAUUGUUUCUAUCCUAAGCUUCAUACAGUAACUCACCAUCAAAUUGUAUGAAAAAAGUGAUAUCAUUCCUCAUUUU